UACAGAGGGGGCAAGCGUUAUUCGGAAUUAUUGGGCGUAAAGGGCGCGUAGGCGGCCUGGCAAGUGGAAGGUGAAAUCCCUCGGCUUAACCGAGGAACUGCCCUCCAAACUGCUUGGCUUGAGUCCGGGAGAGGUGAGUGGAAUUCCCAGUGUAGCGGUGAAAUGCGUAGAUAUUGGGAGGAACACCAGUGGCGAAGGCGGCUCACUGGCCCGGUACUGACGCUGAGGUGCGAAAGCGUGGGGAGCAAACAGG
rnacentral:rRNA from 1 species